rnacentral:rRNA from 1 species
AUUGAACGCUGGCGGCAGGCCUAACACAUGCAAGUCGAGCGGAGCGGCGGACGGGUGAGUAAUGCCUGGGAAUCUGCCUGGUCGUGGGGGAUGACGUCCGGAAACGGGCGCUAAUACCGCAUCCUAUCAGAUGAGCCUAGGUGGGAUUAGCUUGAUGGUGGGGGAAAGGCUUACCAAGGCGACGAUCCGUAACUGGGCUGAGAGGAUGAUCAGCCACACGGGAACGGAGACACGGUCCAGACUCCUACGGGAGGCAGCAGUGGGGAAUAUUGGACAAUGGGCGAAAGCCUGAUCCAGCCAUGCCGCGUGUGUGAAGAAGGUCUUCGGAUUGUAAAGCACUUUAAGUUGGGAGGCGUUACCAACAGAAUAAGCACCGGCUAACUUCGUGCCAGCAGCCGCGGUAAUAC